UACGUAGGUGGCAAGCGUUGUCCGGAAUCACUGGGCGUAAAGGGCGCGUAGGCGGCGCGGGUAGUCAUCGGUGAAAGUUCAGGGCUCAACUCUGAAUCGGCCGGUGAUACUCCCGUGCUCGAGCACUGUAGAGGCAGGUGGAAUUCCGGGUGUAGCGGUGGAAUGCGUAGAGAUCCGGAAGAACACCGGUGGCGAAGGCGGCCUGCUGGGCAGUAGCUGACGCUGAUGCGCGACAGCGUGGGGAGCAAACAGG
rnacentral:rRNA from 1 species